CCAGGCUGCACCCGGCGGUGCCCAGCAGCGGGACCGGAGGCACUGGGCACACGCUGCAGCGCAGCAGGUUUCCCUGCAAGGCUGCCACGGCCGCGCUGCUUCCCCGUUUUGGGUAACACUACUGGAUAUGUAUGGCUGGGCUGAUGAAUGUAUCGAGACCCCACUGUAGCGCGCGAGCUCGGAGGAGCGAUCCGCCUUGCACCCGGCGUGUGGCGCAGCGCUGAAGGAAAGACGUCUCUGCUCUCCUAACCUGACGUGGGUUCGAGAGUUUGAUUCUGCAGAUCAGUUGGGCACCGCAGAUGGGACACUUUCUGUUCGGCUGCAGGACCAGUUGAGGAGGGAGAAUUGUUGGAAGGACUCCCCCUGCUCAUCCGAUCACUGCGGGGACAGACGGGGACCAUGUGGAAGCGGACCAGAUAAAAGGCUGGCGAUGUUUCUUACUGGUGCUUCAAAACAAACACUCCAAAGCCCACGCAGAGAUCACCACCUCCAACCACAGAGCUACCAGAGGAACUGUAGAGCAUAGCAGCUUCUAUAGCUACUGCUGUUGGAGCGUUUGGAUCUCAAGUGCCUGCAAAGCAGUUCCUGAAAACUCCUCAGGUGUGGAGUUUCAUCCAUUCCGAAUCUGCCAGCUCUGGUGUUCUUGAGCAGCUCCAUCCUGCAGAGCCCUGCCUGCAGCCGGACCCGCUGACACCGGAGCCCUCUGCCGCUGUCACCAUCGUCUGCCACGAGGACGGGGACGCACAGUGAUGAACUCUGUGCCACCACCAGCCAAUGUCAGGUGUCACUGUCAUGUGGAGGGGACAAAAGGACCCCCUGGGGACCUGCCAAAAACUUCACCAUAUCUAGGCUUUCAAACAAGUCCUCCUGGAUCGCUUCUCUUACGCCCAGCUCACGAAUGUAGUAUGUAAUGUAAUUCUGAAGGUCCUCCAUGGAAGACCACAAUCCUGUGCUUAAUGGAAUGCCUGAUUUGUUCGGCCAAGCCACGUGGAUGCUGCCAUUCACCAGUCUGUUAUCGACUGGUUCUCACUGCUCUAUGAACAGCAGCAUACAGCCUCUGCCUGAUGACAGUGUUACCGUCAUGGUGGCCAACUUUGAUACCUCUGGCCCAUUCACCAUGACACCUUCCGCCCCUGAGCCCCACAACCCAAGUAACCACGUGGGCACAACUCUCUUUCGGCCUCUGCCAAAGUGCUGCAGCACAUCCAUCAGUUCUGUUGGUGCGCACAGCCUGGCCGCCAAGUGUGAAUGCGUUUGGGCAGGGGGCACCCCACCAGUCUGCCUUGGACUCAGUCUUCUGGGUUAUAAUGGGAUGGGGUUCCAAGGAAUCUGCCACACGUGGAGCCCCUAAAUCUGACCUAGAGUUUUUGUUUUCCUGUUCAACCAGGUCCGUUGCUUCAGAGGUGUGGUCAUUACCUACUGAAAUGCUGGCCUAUCGAGGAACAUCAAGCUCGUCUUUCCCCUGUGAAUACAUUAAGUUCCUGUUCCAGUUUUUCAAAGAGCCACUAGCAGAGCAGAGGAAGAUGGCUGCAGCAGGUCACGCACCUGGCCCACCAUCCGGCAGCUAGAAUGGCCAGUAAUGAACACCCGGCAACCCCUCUGCGCUUCAGA